rnacentral:rRNA from 1 species
UCCAGGACAGGUAAUGCCUUCGUUACGGCGAAGUGAAGCGGCAAAAGCUCCAAAUUUGAAAUCUGGCACCUUCGGUGUCCGAGUUGUAAUUUGAAGAAGGUAACUUUGGAGUUGGCUCUUGUCUAUGUUCCUUGGAACAGGACGUCACAGAGGGUGAGAAUCCCGUGCGAUGAGAUGCCCAAUUCUAUGUAAAGUGCUUUCGAAGAGUCGAGUUGUUUGGGAAUGCAGCUCUAAGUGGGUGGUAAAUUCCAUCUAAAGCUAAAUAUUGGCGAGAGACCGAUAGCGAACAAGUACAGUGAUGGAAAGAUGAAAAGAACUUUGAAAAGAGAGUGAAAAAGUACGUGAAAUUGUUGAAAGGGAAGGGCUUGAGAUCAGACUUGGUAUUUUGCGAUCCUUUCCUUCUUGGUUGGGUUCCUCGCAGCUUACUGGGCCAGCAUCGGUUUGGAUGGUAGGAUAAUGACUAAGGAAUGUGGCUCUACUUCGGUGGAGUGUUAUAGCCUUGGUUGAUACUGCCUGUCUAGACCGAGGACUGCGUCUUUUGACUAGGAUGUUGGCAUAAUGAUCUUAAGCCACCCGUCUGAAAAACGGACCAAACCAAACAUAGUGAGUAGAGUUUUCGUUAC